GACGAACGCUGGCGGCGUGCUUAACACAUGCAAGUCGUACGGUAAGGCCCUUUCGGGGGUCCUCGAGUGGUGACCGGGUGCGUAACACGUGAAUAACCUUCCCACACCUUUGGGAUAACGCUAGGAAACUGGUGCUAAUACUGGUUCUGUGCUCCUGCUGCAAGGUGGGGGUUCGAAAGCUCCGGGGGUUAUGGAUGGCCUGGAGACCUAUCAGCUUGUUGGGGGGGUAGUGGCCUACCAAGGCGGCUACGCGUAGCCGCCCUGAGAGGGUGACCGGCCACAUUGGGUCUGACAGGCGGCACAGGCUCCGACGGGUGGCAGCAGGGGGGAAUAUUGCACGAGGGGCGCAGGCCGGAUGCAGCAACGCCGCGGACGGGAUGACGGCCUUCGGGUGGAAAACCGCUUGCAGCAGGGACGAAGCUUGUUGUGACGGUACCUGCAGAAAAAGCACCGGCUAACUACGUG
rnacentral:rRNA from 1 species